GCUAGGAUAGUUCAAUUGGUCAGAACAUUAAUUUCAUGCGUUAAGAAUGAGAAUUCGAUUUUCUCUCCUGGCU
rnacentral:tRNA from 1 species